GAUGAACGCUGGCGGCGUGCUUAACACAUGCAAGUCGAACGAAACACCUUAUUUGAUUUUCUUCGGAACUGAAGAUUUGGUGAUUGAGUGGCGGACGGGUGAGUAACGCGUGGGUAACCUGCCCUGUACAGGGGGAUAACAGUCAGAAAUGACUGCUAAUACCGCAUAAGACCACAGCACCGCAUGGUGCAGGGGUAAAAACUCCGGUGGUACAGGAUUGACCCGCGUCUGAUUAGCUGGUUGGUGAGGUAACGGCUCACCAAGGCGACGAUCAGUAGCCGGCUUGAGAGAGUGAACGGCCACAUUGGGACUGAGACACGGCCCAAACUCCUACGGGAGGCAGCAGUGGGGAAUAUUGCACAAUGGGGGAAACCCUGAUGCAGCGACGCCGCGUGAGUGAAGAAGUAUUUCGGUAUGUAAAGCUCUAUCAGCAGGGAAGAAAAUGACGGUACCUGACUAAGAAGCCCCGGCUAACUACGUG
rnacentral:rRNA from 1 species